GGGCUCUACAUAUCUUUUUCUUUGCUUAGUAGAAUUUGGCAAGUGACAAAUUUGUAUUGGACAUUUUUCAAGCAGUUAAGAAUUCAGUGGCAGGGACAGCAUAACCUCAUCAUAACACUGUCACGUGGCCAGACUGCAGGAAGCAAGGUUUUGAACACUUCGUGGGUAACAAGGAUACGUUGACAUUCCUCCCUGAAAGAUGAAUGAUUGCAAAAUUCGUAGCUCCUAGUAAGGAAGACAAACGCUGUGAAACUUCUUUUCCUCAUCCAGCUACUGUGGGAAAACUGCGUGCUAAACUCCUACUUCUUUGUAAGUGAAGUACUCAGAGGAGACUGCAGAUAUUUCCGUAAUCCAGCCAGUCAGCUCCAGUUACUGAGGGCAUUACUUGCUUCGUCCUUCUCUGGUUCCCUUCUGUUUAAAUCUACUGUGGAGAAGCCACUUCGCCACUGUCUGUACUGGGACCUCCAAUGUCAGUGUGACGUAACCUGACUCUCAAUGCUCUCUCCGAAGGCUUCUGGUCUUGGAGGUUCCAGACCAUUAUUGGUUC
rnacentral:lncRNA from 1 species